rnacentral:misc_RNA from 1 species
UCUCCGUUUCCGAAGCAGUCCCAUUAGAGUGCUCUAUUUCUAGAUAGCAACUAAUGGCAAGGGUUGCGCUCGUUAAAGGACUUAACCCAACAUCUCACGACACGAGCUGACGACAGCCAUGCAGCACCUGUGUAACCGUCUGCAGUAAACUGCAGAACCCAGUGUUUCCACCAGUAGCGAUUACAUGUCAAGCCUAGGUAAGGUUCCUCGCGUAGUGUCGAAUUAAACCACAUGUUCCACCGCUUGUGCGGACCCCCGUCAAUUUCUUUGAGUUUUAAUCUUGCGACCGUACUCCCCAGGCGGAUCACUUACCGCGUUAGCUACGACACCGAUCCCACCAUUGUGGAACCGACACCUAGUGAUCAUCGUUUACGGCGUGGACUAC